rnacentral:tRNA from 1 species
GACUGGAUAGCCUAGCAGUAAAGGCAUCACAUUGACAAUGCUGAGGUCCUAGGUUCAAAUCCUGGUCUAGUCA